AUGUACCUCGUCGACUGGAAGGAAGCCCUUCCAGCCGGCGGGUACAUGUACCUCGCCGGUCGACUGGAAGGAAACCCUUCCAGCCGGGGGGUACAUGUACCUCGCCGGUUGACUGGAAGGGAAUCCUUCCGGUCGACGAGGUACAU
rnacentral:miRNA from 1 species